GACGAACGCUGGCGGCGUGCUUAACACAUGCAAGUCGAACGAAGUGGCGAACGGGUGAGUAAUACGUGGGUAACCUGCCCUCCUUUUUGGGAUAAGCCUUGGAAACGGGGUCUAAUACCGACUAAAGGGGGAUGGGCUCGCGGCCUAUCAGCUUGUUGGUGGGGUGAUGGCCGACCAAGGCGACGAUCCCUAGCUGGUCUGAGAGGAUGACCAGCUACACUGGAACGGGGACACGGGCCAGACGCCUACGGGAGGCAGGCGUGGGGAAUAUUGCAAAAUGGGCGCAAGCCUGAUGCAGCCAGGCAGCGUGUAUGAUGAAGGCCUUCGGGUUGUAAACCUCUUUCGCUAUCGAACGGGUAGGUGGAGAAGAAGCGCCGGCUAACUACGUGCCAGCCGCCGCGGUAAUAC
rnacentral:rRNA from 1 species